GGCUUGUGUUUGCAAUAUUGCCAUUUGGAUGAGAAGUGUUGAAGGGAAGGUGAACCCAUAAGUUAUGCGUAGGUCAGACAGAACCUUAGAAAAAGGCCUAUGCUCCCCAUACCAGUCAGUUUAGACACAAUUUUCUGAGAAAACUAGACUUCAACCAUGGGUUUAAAUUGUUUAAAGAUAAAGUUUCAGAGUUUAGUUUCAAAGGAUAAAUCCAUGUAAACCUGGAGUACAUAUCUAUAAAGGUUACUAUAAUAGGCGUAAUCAGUAGAAGAAAGUGAAACAAUAUCAG